GGUUCUAGAAUCGCCACUGAACACCGCCACCACAGCACGCCGCCCCAAAUCCUGAUCACGAGCAGCCACAUCCGCCGACCUGGCAGCGGUAGCACGGACGAACUCCCGCCGACAAGCUGGGUCACCACCAGGCGAGUUCAUCGCAGCAGGGGCCUCUCGGGGGGGUGGCGGAGGUUGCGAACUUGAAGCAGAAACCGGCACAACGCGGCCGACGCAACGGGCAGCCGACGGAGGAGGCAGCAAGCCUGAAGAAGACGAGCCGAAACAAGGGGCAGCCGACGGAGGAAGGAGCGGGCCUGGCGAAGACGGCAGCUCAACACGAGGCAGCGAACUUGAAGGACGAGCCCGGCGCGGCUCGGCCGACGCGAGGUGCAGGACCAGCACCAGCGGCACGGGACGGAAGCGGCGGAGGCAGAUCAGCACCCCGGCACCACCGAGCCCUAUGACCCACCUUCCCGCAAAGCAGGCACACCGCCGGAUUCCUACACUCCGCCACACGGUGGUUUGAGGCAAGACAACGAAAGCAUCUGCCCCAUGCUCUCUUAAGUAGCAGAGCACGGAAACGAGAUGGCACCAACGGUCCGCUCCUCGCACCCCCAGCCGGCCCAUCGAUCCUGCGCCUGGACCUAUCCACCAACGUCCACCCACCGCCAUCAAUGCGCUCUUGUCUACCAUCCUCAGAAACCUGGCGGGAGCCAUUACCACCGGACCCAGCAAGAAAGCCAGCAGGAGCAAUAAUGGCGGAGUUCAGACGCUGGCGAGGGACCUCAACCGCCUGCGGCGCCACGGCAGGGGACGGGGCGAGGAGCGCCUGCAGAAAGGAACCAGGGCUGGCAGGGGAAUCCAAAGCUGAUCUAGAUCUGGUGCUAGCCCCUUCAAGCUGCGUUCGCUGAAGCGCGUUGACCUCCUCUAGCUAGCAACACCAACAGAGAUUCAGAGAACAUGUCGGGAGAUUCGUCGCAGCAGCAGCAGCAAGAGAUCAUUACUGUUGCCCAUGAAGGUCCUCACAUGUCGAUCGAUGAGUUGCUCAAGGUAUUAAGAGAAGCCAAUGGCAUGCCGGUGCUGUUUGUCCCUUCCGGCGACGGUCGGCUGGCGGCGGUUGCUGUCGACGGCCUUCAGAAUCUGGUGCCCGCCGCCAAGGAAUCCGAUGAAAACAAGCAGCAGGAUUACCGUGGCUGGUUGUUGCUCGUUAGUUCACUGGUUGCCACCGUCACCUUCACCGCGGGGCUCACCCCACCCGGUGGUUUCUGGGCCGACGACGACGAGGCAAAAGGACGAGUCGCUGGUAAGUCGGUUAUGCACGACAAAUUCCGUGAUAGGUACACGUGGUUUUACUUCUUCAACACGAUGGCCUUCUUCACGGCCUUGGCAAUCAUCGGAAUGCUGGCCGCAAACAUAAAUAACAAGAAAAUCGCUAUCGUGGGACAUAAUGGUCUCAUCUGUCUUGUAAUUGUUUGUUUUUUCGGCCUGGGGGGUAGCUACGUUGUCGGUACGUGGGCCGGACCUCGUUCAGUGGCCGGGGUCUUUAUGGUGCUUGCCAUGGACAUGGUUUACAUGUUGUUUCCUUUGGGGACGCGUGUUAUCCAAGCUAUCCUCUUAAAGUGGUCGGCUUAUUGCUGCUAGGAAGAAUUUAAUGGCUAGGAAGGAGUACGGUUUUACAGGAAGCCUUCAUCUGCCUGAUGCAACAAACUUGUGUUCUAGCAGUAACUAUGAUAAUUUGUGUUAUUGGAUCCUGGUUUUUUUUUGUGUGUUAUUGGAUCCUGGUUUGUAUCUCUAAAUGCGUGAGAACCCUGUUUUUGGUACUCAUUUGUAACUUCUACUGGACACAUAUUUAAAGGCCGCAAUUUGAUUCCGUAUACUCGUUGGGGUCCACCGCUACGGCCAAGUAUAGUUUUUUUUGUCAGCACUGGUGUGAUCGCAUACAAGUGAGUAAAAAACUCAAAAAUUAAGUACGCAAGACUAGGCUGUGCUACUGCUGGCUGCAAAUUACUGCUCCGUAUUUGAAUUGCUGUAUGAUUUUAAGAUGAUGAUGCAAUCCAUUUUCUUCGCAUAUCCACGGGUACGUGCAUGUCCUAUGAUAUCGCUCGCUUAAAUUGAUCCCGUCUGUAUGGAUCAAACAAGGAGGACCUGGCCCUGUGCAAGCGCCAAGCGGCAGCGUGCACAUAUAUAGAUGACUCCUCCUGAACAUGGGACUUGACUCGCAAAGUCGGAACAGAUCGCAAUUAAAUCAGAUCAGCCGCCAAGAGAAAUGAUGGUGCAUCCCUUUGUUUUUUGCCUCUUGGACAUGGUACGUUCUCCUUUUUUAUCUAAAAAAAAUGGGAGAGCGUGAUGGUGUGGAUGCUGCAAAGGCGGAAUCGACGACUCAUCGCCGGCGUUGCCUCUAGCCCGAGUGUAUGUGUUCUCCGAUAACACCCCGAAACGAGGAGGCGGAAGGCAAGGGAAUGAGAAGAGGCGGAAAAAUGAAGAAUAAGCGUAUGCAACAUGGAUGUCAGGAGGAAGAUUAUGACCAUGGCUUCGGCUGAGGGUACGAAUUAACUUCAACAUGAUUCCGUGAACGAAGGUUAGGAGGCGGGGGAGAAGCUCAUGAUUCGUCCUUCUCCGAGGAUGGCGUCGUGCUCCCGCUUCGUCCACGGCUCAUUGCGGCCCUCCGCACGAGUGUUCGUCGCCCGCAACCAGACGCCCACGACGUGCGCUUCGUCUCUUCUGGCGCCCGCCCCUCCGCCGGGGUCCUCUACGGCCUGCUCCACCCCCGCGGGCCUGAUCUCCCGCUCUCCGACCCCAACUGGCUUAACUUGGCCCCCAAAAAGGUUCAAGUCUUCUUCUGGAUCGGGCGCCACGGCA